rnacentral:rRNA from 1 species
GCAGUCGAACGAACUCUUCGGAGUUAGUGGCGGACGGGUGAGUAACACGUGCCGAACGAUGCCUUUAGGUUCGGAAUAACUCAGGGAAACUUGUGCUAAUACCGAAUGUGCCCUUCGGGGGAAAGAUUUAUCGCCUUUAGGGCGGCCCGCGUCUGAUUAGCUAGUUGGUGAGGUAAAGGCUCACCAAGGCGACGAUCAGUAGCUGGUCUGAGAGGAUGAUCAGCCACAUUGGGACUGAGACACGGCCCAAACUCCUACGGGAGGCAGCAGUGGGGAAUCUUGCGCAAUGGGCGAAAGCCUGACGCAGCCAUGCCGCGUGAAUGAUGAAGGUCUUAGGAUUGUAAAAUUCUUUCACCGGGGACGAUAAUGACGGUACCCGGAGAAGAAGCCCCGGCUAACUUCGUGCCAGCAGCCGCGGUAAUACGAAGGGGGCUAGCGUUGCUCGGAAUUACUGGGCGUAAAGGGAGCGUAGGCGGACAUUUAAGUCAGGGGUGAAAUCCCGGGGCUCAACCUCGGAAUUGCCUUUGAUACUGGGUGUCUUGAGUAUGAGAGAGGUGUGUGGAACUCCGAGUGUAGAGGUGAAAUUCGUAGAUAUUCGGAAGAACACCAGUGGCGAAGGCGACACACUGGCUCAUUACUGACGCUGAGGCUCGAAAGCGUGGGGAGCAAACAGGAUUAGAUACCCUGGUAGUCCACGCCGUAAACGAUGAUUGCUAGUUGUCGGGAUGCAUGCAUUUCGGUGACGCAGCUAACGCAUUAAGCAAUCCGCCUGGGGAGUACGGUCGCAAGAUUAAAACUCAAAGGAAUUGACGGGGCCCGCACAAGCGGUGGAGCAUGUGG